AAAAUGCGAUAAGUCAUGUGAAUUGCAGAUAUCAGUGAAUCAUCGAAUUUUUGAACGCAGCACGCACUUUUAGGGUUUUUUACACUCUAAAGUAUGUCUGUUCGAGUGUCACAUUUAUAAUAAUCAAAUAAAAAAAAUUUAUUUUUUAUAUUUGAAGAUGAAAGUUCAAAUUUUAUUUGAUCUUUUUAAAUAUAUAAUUAGGAUUUUUUUUUAAUUAAAAAAAUUUUAAAAUAUAGUUAAUUAAGUAUAUUAAAAUUUAAAUUUUUAAUACACAAUAUUUCUAUAUUUUUUUUUAAUUUAAAAAAAUUAUCUUUUUUUAUAAUUUAUCAAAAAAAAAAAAAAAAAAAAAAAUCAUAAACAUUGACAUCGAAUUAGACAAGGCUACCCGCUGAACUUAAGC
rnacentral:misc_RNA from 1 species